GGAGAAACGUGUGGCCUCAAGCUCAGCAGAAACCAGUUGUUCCCAGUCUGCCGUUAACACCAACGCACUGUUGCAUACGCCAGCCACCGCACUCGGUUCCCGUUUCCUUUGCCAAGACGCGUUAGCAGCCGGCCGCGUGGCGGCCUACCUGAGAUCACGGGGUCACACAUCUUCUACUUCACUUGGCUGCUUGAGAUUGAUUCUGCUCUUUUCGUUUCUUUCCAGAACAACUCUCCCCUCCCCCCACCAACACCCCCUUUUUAUCCUGGUGUGAAACAAUGGUAAUUUGAUAUAUGGUAUUUAUAUUGGCAUUUCUCAACCCAGUGUCACUAGAUGUCACACAUUUGUGGUGCUUUGAUGUUUGCAAGUCUAACCUCUGAACAUAAAUUUGGUCAAAUAAUAAAUUGGAGCAAAGGGAAAGAGAUACUUGAUAUGAAAGCCAUAAGGACAGUGACUUGUUUUAUAAGGAAAACCAGUUUCUCCCUCUACUUCCAACACUAAAGGGAAAAAAAGAUGGACUCAAACUAGGACUUCCGGGCCCAGUGCUUCUCCCUGAGCAUGUUAGACAACCACACAGUUAGUUUUGAAAGACGUUCAAUUCAAGGACAGCACCCUCUCAGCUUAGCCCUCCGAGUGCUCGUGCCCCCCUCCCCCACCCGGGUUCUCAUGCUGUUUUCUUUCUCAGGGUCCUCUUUGCUGGGCAGCCCCUCUCCCGUAAGCUAUCAGUUGGCUCCCGUCCAGAGGGGGUCGGCAGAGGUCCCUGUCCUCCAUGAGAGGGGGCUCCUCCUCCAGAGUGAGCUGAGGGUGUGCGGCCUGAGCAGCGGGGUUCCGCGGCACGCGCUGCACACUCACCGGAAGUGCAGACCUUCUUACUAGGAGCAUCAUUCCAAGGGAGACACCUGCUUCCCAAGUCUGGUGUUGACACAGGAAUGACAGCACAGAAAACUCUAGGACUCCCAGUACCUUCUGGAAUAAGGAAUUUCCCCCUCGUUAAUACUGUGGCCCUCCUUGUCAUUGGCCUUUGAUAACCGUGGCAAUUCAUAAAGAGAGGAAGCAUUGAUGAAUUAAAAGCAUUCCUUAUUUUUUUAACUAAUAUUUGCACAUUUUCUUAGUAUCUUUCCAAAUCUUUACCUCUUUUAUUCCUUUGACAGAUGGUAUCCCUUCCUGGAUCAUUCAUUUCACUUGGUUUCUAACUUCAGAUUUACUUCACUUGUUAUUUGACUUAGCAGGUGCAACAAAAACAAGUGUGCCCACCCCACUUGCCUCUUAACUGAAAAGCUUAAAAUAAAUUUCUGAAUUAUACAUCAUAAAGCUUUGACAUUUCUUUAUUAACUGAUGAACUACUAAGUCUAAAUUCCACCAUUGAAGCUUUCCACCAAAAGUCUUCUCAAAAUCUUUUGCAGCAAAGUGGUAUCUGAGUUACAUGUGAAAGAGAUUGCUUGUAUUUUUGAGGUUCUUACAACACACUGUGCAGAAUUGGACAGAUGGUCUGUGAUAUUUGGUCUCCCUUUCUUCUCUCUCCUGCUUGCUCUGCACGCCAGCAGCAGCUCCUUUCUCUCAGGCUGGAAAGCCUGGCUCUCGGCAGUGACGUCCCUCCCACACCUGGUUACAGGUGGUGGUUGUGCUAUACGUGAUAUCAUGCUUAACGGUGCGGUCCCUUGCGGCCCUUUGCCCUGAGUUUCCUUGUCAGAAGAUAGCUCUUGUAAUGUGGCACAGUAAGUAAUUCCAUGCAGAUGAUACUCCGGGGGGCCCUAGGCCUGGACAUCUCCAUAAAACCCAGCACCAGGGGGAUUGUGACCCAGACUCCUGUCAUGGGAGUGAUUGUGUGAUCACUGUGCAACUAACUGGCCUCAGCCUCACAGGUGACCACCACUCUGUCCCCAAAGCCCCAGCCUUCUCAGCUGGAAAAACCUACUGGCCCGAUACCCUCCCCUUCCCCAGGGGUCAUACUUGAUUCUCCAUCCGAGAGUCUUGGAGCCAACUCUUCAUUGAUUUAGACAAGAGCUCCUCUUUCUGUCUCUAUCUGAAACCUCUUCCAUUUUGCCGUAUCCUCACGGAAGCUUCGGGAAGUCUGUAACAGCUAGCUCUCCAUCGUCUUUGGCUGCACCCCUGCCUCUGUGCAGACCUCAUCUCCUUUACCAGGGCUGUUCCUUCUUCCCCGAGGACUGUACCCCGUCAUUCUCGCCUCUCAGCAUCCAGGGCAGGCUUUACUCCACGGCUCCCUGUCCAUCACACAUCCUCACGCUGGGCUUGAGAAGUACCCCUCCGUGUGCUCCCCCUCCUUGGAAGCCGGACCUUGUUCUUAGUCACACGCCUGUGGCUGGUUAUAGCACUUCUGCUGCUCAUGUCAGAUAGGAAGUGAUUGAAGCAGGGGGCAGAGAGAGCGAGCCCAACUACUUUCUAAGCAGAAAAGCAGAAAAAGAAAAGACAAACAUCUUGUUGACCAGAGAGAAGUAAACUCCAGAAGGGAACCAAGAACUCCUCCCUUCCCUGGCCCUUUUAAGAGCGGAGAAGUGGGAAAAGGCCAGAAGGCAAAGACACUACCACUGUUCAUCGUCUACACGCAUGUCUACACCUGUCUUCCUCUUCAUUCUAGAACACAGCUUGUAUGGUCCUUACAGCUUCUGGCGCUAGUAAGCAGCCCCUGACUCGGCUUCUCCGCGCUGGCGCACCUUGCCCAACAGCACCUGUGGCUGUCUCCUGUGUUGGGAUUAGAAUUGUGAAAAAAAUGUAAGGCCCAGCUGAAGUGAA